rnacentral:rRNA from 1 species
UACGAAGGGUGCAAGCGUUACUCGGAAUUACUGGGCGUAAAGCGUGCGUAGGCGGUUUGCUAAGACAGGUGUGAAAUCCCCGGGCUUAACCUGGGAACUGCGCUUGUAACUGGCAAGCUUGAGUGUGGCAGAGGGGGGUGGAAUUCCACGUGUAGCAGUGAAAUGCGUAGAGAUGUGGAGGAACACCGAUGGCGAAGGCAGCCACCUGGGCUAACACUGACGCUCAUGCACGAAAGCGUGGGGAGCAAACAGG